rnacentral:rRNA from 1 species
GAUGAACGCUGGCGGCGUGCCUAAUACAUGCAAGUCGAGCGAACUGAUUAGAAGCUUGCUUCUAUGACGUUAGCGGCGGACGGGUGAGUAACACGUGGGCAACCUGCCUGUAAGACUGGGAUAACUUCGGGAAACCGAAGCUAAUACCGGAUAGGAUCUUCUCCUUCAUGGGAGAUGAUUGAAUGAUGGUUUCGGCUAUCACUUACAGAUGGGCCCGCGGUGCAUUAGCUAGUUGGUGAGGUAACGGCUCACCAAGGCAACGAUGCAUAGCCGACCUGAGAGGGUGAUCGGCCACACUGGGACUGAGACACGGCCCAGACUCCUACGGGAGGCAGCAGUAGGGAAUCUUCCGCAAUGGACGAAAGUCUGACGGAGCAACGCCGCGUGAGUGAUGAAGGCUUUCGGGUCGUAAAACUCUGUUGUUAGGGAAGAACAAGUACAAGAGUAACUGCUUGUACCUUGACGGUACCUAACCAGAAAGCCACGGCUAACUACGUGCCAGCAGCCGCCGUAAUAC